rnacentral:rRNA from 1 species
CACGUAGGAGGCGAGCGUUGUCCGGAAUCACUGGGCGUAAAGCGCACGUAGGCGGCUUUCUAAGUCAGGGGUGAAAUCCUGGAGCUCAACUCCAGAACUGCCUUUGAUACUGGAGAGCUUGAGUCCGGAAGAGGUGAGUGGAGCUCCGAGUGUAGAGGUGAAAUUCGUAGAUAUUCGGAAGAACACCAGUGGCGAAGGCGGCUCACUGGUCCGGUACUGACGCUGAUGUGCGAAAGCGUGGGGAGCAAACAGG